UACAGAGGGGGCAAGCGUUGUUCGGAAUUACUGGGCGUAAAGGGCGCGUAGGCGGCCUUCUAAGUCGAACGUGAAAUCCCCGGGCUCAACCCGGGAACUGCGUCCGAUACUGGAAGGCUUGAAUCCGGGAGAGGGAUGUGGAAUUCCAGGUGUAGCGGUGAAAUGCGCAGAUAUCAGGAAGAACACCCGUGGCGAAAGCGGCUCUCUGGAACGGUACUGACGCUGAGACGCGAAAGCGUGGGGAGCGAACAGG
rnacentral:rRNA from 1 species